CCCUAGUAACGGCGAGUGAACAGGGAAAAGCCCAGCACCGAAGCCUGCGGUAGUUUUACUGUUAGGCAUUGUGGUGUUUGGGCGGGCUCGCGGGAUUGCCGCUCCACUCGAAGUCCAGCAUUGAGUAUGGUUUCUGGAUUUGGCCCAGAGAGGGUGAAAGGCCCGUGCGGGUGGAGUUUCAGACAUGAUUGGCAAUUCACUAGGUCCGCCCUAGAGUCGGGUUGUUUGGGAAUGCAGCCCAAAGCGGGUGGUAAACUCCAUCCAAGGCUAAAUACUAGCACGAGUCCGAUAGCGAACAAGUACCGUGAGGGAAAGUUGAAAAGUACUUUGAAGAGAGAGUAAACAGUACGUGAAACCGCAUGAAGGUAAACGGGUGGCGUCAAGCUGCAAGCCUAGAGGAUUCAGUUGGUCAGGAUGUUGUGUAUGCGCCUAGCGCAUCUAUCAGUCGGUAUAGUUCAAACAGUCUGGCUGUAAAAGACAGACCCAGUCGCAAGAUUGGGAUUUGCAGUCCGUUUGGUUGGCGGAGCAAACUGUUUGGCUGUGGGCUGUCUGGCCGAUGCACUUUCUCUAUGGUGAACACCACGACCGGUGGUACUGCCAGUCUGCUUUGGUCAAGUCCUUGUUAACUGGUACUUGUUGCCAGCUAGCCUGGAUCACAUGCAAUUUCAGUAUACGGUGUUCGAGCAUUUCGGUGUCCGAGCAUGUUAUCGGAAACUGGUUGUAAACGGGCUGUGUGAAAUGGUUGUUAAACGUUUCGCGUAGUCUGGUGGACCUUUGUGGUAUGAAUAACUGUGCAGGGCACUGGUGUUAUCGGUCUCUGAAUCUGACUGUUGCACACUUUUCAAGUGGCGUGUGCAGGCGUCGUUCGCGUUUGCCUAUGCUUCGAUCUGAUCGUCGUGUCGCCUGCGAAAAGUAGGCCCGUCUUUGGUCUGGCGUAGGUUGAGCGUGUGGCGGCGUUUGUCGUAACAGUCAGUGUGGACCUAAUAGUCUGUGGUGUAGUGGUAGACGAGCUACCCGACCCGUCUUGAAACACGGACCAAGGAGUUUAACAUGCGCSCAAGUCAUGGGGUCUUACGAAACCCAAAGGCGCAGUGAAAGUGAAGCCUCGUUUUGUCGCGGGGUGUGGUGAGAUCCUGUUGUUACUCGCAUCGUCCUUUGUGCUAGCACUAGGCAAAGAGCAACAGGCGCAUCACCGGCCCGUCCCAUGAUGUGGUCGUCAGCUUCGGUU
rnacentral:rRNA from 1 species